GAUGAACGCUGGCGGCGUGCCUAAUACAUGCAAGUCGAGCGAACAGACGAGGAGCUUGCUCCUCUGACGUUAGCGGCGGACGGGUGGGUAACACGUGGAUAACCUACCUAUAAGACUGGGAUAACUUCGGGAAACCGGAGCUAAUACCGGAUAAUAUAUUGAACCGCAUGGUUCAAUAGUGAAAGACGGUUUUGCUGUCACUUAUAGAUGGAUCCGCGCCGCAUUAGCUAGUUGGUAAGGUAACGGCUUACCAAGGCAACGAUGCGUAGCCGACCUGAGAGGGUGAUCGGCCACACUGGAACUGAGACACGGUCCAGACUCCUACGGGAGGCAGCAGUAGGGAAUCUUCCGCAAUGGGCGAAAGCCUGACGGAGCAACGCCGCGUGAGUGAUGAAGGUCUUCGGAUCGUAAAACUCUGUUAUUAGGGAGGAACAAAUGUGUAAGUAACUAUGCACGUCUUGACGGUACCUAAUCAGAAAGCCACGGCUAACUACGUG
rnacentral:rRNA from 1 species